AUGAACGCUAGCGACAGGCUAACACAUGCAAGUCGAGGGGUAACAGGGUAGCAAUACCGCUGACGACCGGCGCACGGGUGAGUAACGCGUAUGCAAACUUGCCUAGUAACUGGGGAAUAGCUCCCUGAAAGGGGAAUUAACACCGCAUAAUACUAUUGAUUCGCAUGGAUUAGUAGUUAAAUGUAGCGAUACAGGUUAUAGAUGGGCAUGCGUGACAUUAGCUAGUUGGUGAGGUAACGGCUCACCAAGGCUACGAUGUCUAGGGGUUCUGAGAGGAAGGCCCCCCACACUGGUACUGAGACACGGACCAGACUCCUACGGGAGGCAGCAGUGAGGAAUAUUGGUCAAUGGGCGCAAGCCUGAACCAGCCAUGUCGCGUGCAGGAAGACUGCCCUAUGGGUUGUAAACUGCUUUUAUAGUAGAAGAAACACAUCUACGUGUAGAUGUCUGCCAGUAUACUAUGAAUAAGCAUCGGCUAACUCCGUGCCAGCAGCCGC
rnacentral:rRNA from 1 species